UGGUGAGUUCUAGCCAGCCUGCCCUACAGAGUAAGGAAGGUCCUGUCUCAACAACAAACAAAAUACUUCCCCACGCCACUCAAAACAGGAUGCAGUUUAAAACUUAGGAAUUAUAUCUGGGAGUUUUGCAUUUGGUAUUUCUGAUCUGUUGGUCUCUGGUAACCCAACUACAGAAAGAAAACCGUGGAAACUGGGGAGCUGCGGUGAGGCCUGCAAUCGGCCCUGAGCGGAACCGCUCCCGGUACCGGAAGCGCCAUUACUGAUGUCUGCCGGAGGAAGGCGGGCAGAGACGAGGAGGGCGGCCCUGGGCACCCCGCCUGCCCUCACCGUCAUCUUCUCCCUGAUGUGAGUCCCUUCAGCUGGCCUCGGUCUGCUUGCAGCGCUCUCUGCUGAGGAGUCGGUCUCCUCCCCAUCGUCUGAACUCUUGCUGAGUCUGCCCCAGAGCUGCUGUCAGCUCUACUCGGCAGAGCUUCAAGCACUGAGAAUCAAAGUCCACAGCAAGUCGCCCAAGAAGGUGAAACGUGACAUACGUAUACACCGGUGAAACUUUCACUGCAGUGAGCUUCCCCGGGGCCACACACCGGCUCUCUGUUCUCCUGGUUCUUCCAGCCCACUCGUUCGCCUACCCACUCUGCUUCUGUUUGGUCCAACAGCCCAGGUCCUAACCGUGCACCCCUGGGCAACCUGCCCCCUGCCCCCAAUUGCAGCCCUGACAGAAAACUCACAGCCUCCUGAAGCAGCAAGAAUAUCAAGUUACUUUUUGAAAAG